AGCAGCCGCGGUAAUUCCAGCUCCAAUAGCGUAUAUUAAAGUUGUUGCAGUUAAAAAGCUCGUAGUUGAAUUUCGGGAUCAGUUGGUCGGUCGUGUCUUGGUACGUACUGGUCAAAUUGAUUCCUACCUUCUGACGAAUCACAAUGUCAUUAAUUUGGUGUCGCAGUAAAUCAGGACUGUUACUUUGAAAAAUUAGAGUGUUUAAAGCAGGCUCGUGCUUGAAUACAUUAGCAUAGAAUAAUGAAAUAAGACGUUUGAUUCUAUUUUGUUAGUUUCUAGGAUCGAUAUAAUGAUUAAUAGGAAUAGUUGGAGGUAUUAGUAUUCAAUUGUCAGAAGUGAAAUUCUUGGAUUUAUUGAAGACUAACUACUGC
rnacentral:misc_RNA from 1 species